rnacentral:tRNA from 1 species
GGGCCUGUAGCUCAAUGGUUAGAGCAGUCGGCUCAUAAUCGAUUGGUUGGAGGUUCGAGUCCUCCCAGGCCCACCA